AGCUGACAACAAACUCCCACCAAAUCCAGAGAUGACAUAUAGCAAUCCAAUCUUAACUGUAAAGCACCAAAUGAAAAUGCAUCAAAAGUAUUUAAAAAAGAUUGUGUCAGAAUUUAUCAUGGACAUUUUUCUACUCUGUUAAGGACUGAAAUUAGCAGAAAACAAGGCGACACACUAGGAAAGUACAUAUGUACAAUAGCAUGAAUGAUAUCUCAGGCUACAUCAGACAUACACCUUAUAAGCCAACAAAUUCGUCGUUUUUGUUAUGAGCAAUGACAAUCAAUGGAAGAAAUACAAAAGAAAAACAUUUGAAGCAACUAGCAAAUGGCCUCGAAUGGACCUAAAACCUGUUAUUGUAUUGAAAACAAUAAAAGGGAGAAAGCCAGCUUCAAAUGCAGACUUGUCCAUGCAGGCAGUUAAACAAGAAAAAUGAAAGAGGAAACACUUUGACAGCCUAAGGCCAAAAUAAUUGAAGAAUAAGAUUAGAUGUACAUGAAACACAAAAUAACAUUGCAGACAUUAAAUAUUGUGGAUUUGAACAGCAAAAAAACUUAAGAGAUUCUGCAAUUCUUAAACUAAAUGCAUUGACUAGGAGACCACAAAUCAAAAUUACAGGCAAAAUCUGCUCAAAGCAUUUGAUUAAUCAUAAUUUGAUUUAUGUCCUAGUGAAACUUAAAUUUCACAAUUAAUUAUAAUUCCACAGAUAAUCCAACCUCAGGUCAGAAAACUUUAAUUAGUUUCCAUCCCUCUGAUUAUUCUCUUUUAAGUGUUUCCAACAAUUUGUUCAUUUCCUACAAAUUCACUAAAAAUGACUCAAACUAAAAAAAGAAAAAUGUCAUAAUCGGCAACUAUCCAUUAAUUAACAAGAAAAAAUCAACUCCUUUCCGCGACAGAAUUUAGAAGGUGAUGAACCUUAAGAUAGAAACACAUACCAAAUCCAAAUUCUUGUUCAAGCCGAAUCCCAAUAACUAAAAGACUCAGCAUAUUUGCCAACAAAUGAAAAACUCCUCCAUGUAACCAAUUGCAGGUGAGGAGACGCCAUCCCUGGUGCUCAUCAACCACCUUAGUCACAUCUAAAGCCCCCAAAUUCUGCAGCGUGGUCGAAGAAGGGCCGAGAAGUGGAUUCUCCUUAAAAGGCUGAAAGGAAAAUCUACCCAGAAAACGAGCAAUGCAAGAGACAGAAUUCUUGGGACAGUUAUUGACAUACAUGGUGAUAAUGAACAUAACAAUAUUGGCAAUGACAAAAGCAGGUAUAAUCCAAGGUACCCAUUUCUUGAAAUGCUUAACUUCUGUGUACAAAGCUGGACUCUGAGACAGCAAUUGAGGAGUGCCUGUUUCUACUGGGUGUAUAACGUUGUUUGCCCUCUUGGAAUUGACCCUGAUUUGGAUCUCCGGCGAUGGAGAAGGAGGAGCAGGAUGAUGCUCCCUCUCCAUUGCGGGGUAUACAGAAACAAAGUGAAUAAUCGUCAAUCAGCAAGAAGAAGAUGUGAAAGAGGAGGAUUCUCAAUGUGAAGAGAGAUAGAGGCAGAGGGGAAAGAGUGCAGUGGAGUCUUGAAAUGAGAGCGCGCGGUUUGUCAACCGUUCCACCUACCGAACCGAUUCAACGACAGAGACACCGCAAGUUGUGACGGAAAUUGCGUCACGAAACUAUCUAAUCUUUUCUUUUCCCUUGUUUAUUUCAAGAUGUUCAAAUAUUAUACAUUGUGAAAAUUCGGUUGUCCACCAACUCCAACUUCUGAUUUUCAUUUUUUUUU
rnacentral:misc_RNA from 1 species